AACUGCCUUUCUCCAAAAUGCGUGUUUAAGCCAAAUAGGACCCACCAUUGGCAAUUAACAUAAAUGUAUAAAUCAUAGCAACCCCCACCAGAAAACCCUAAGACUUCUAGUGUCAACCUAACACCAGAGCAUUACAGGAAAGAUUAAAAGAGGGAGAAGGAACUCGGCAAAUCAUAGUCCCGCCUGUUUACCAAAAACAUCGCCUCCUGACAAAUAUAGGAGGUCCAGCCUGCCCAGUGAUAAAAUUCAACGGCCGCGGUACCCUAACCGUGCGAAGGUAGCAUAAUCACUUGUUCUUUAAAUGAGGACUAGUAUCAACGGCACCACGAGGACUCUACUGUCUCCUCCCUCCAAUCAGUGAAACUGAUCCCCCCGUGAAGAAGCGGGGAUUAUUCUAUAAGACGAGAAGACCCCAUGGAGCUUUAAACCCAAUAGGCAUCUCUGCAAACUUAAACCACCUUACCCUAAGAGGUAUGCACUAUUGGUUUUAGGCUGGGGUGACCGCGGAGUAAAACUAAACCUCCACGACAAACGGGCUAACGCCCUGAUCUACGAACCACACUUCUAAGAACCAAUAUAUUGUUGUCUAAUGACCCAAUUAUAUGAUCAACGAACCAAGUUACCCUGGGGAUAACAGCGCAAUCUACUUCGAGAGCCCCUAUCGACAAGUAGGUUUACGACCUCGAUGUUGG
rnacentral:rRNA from 1 species